AACAGUCAGCUCACAAAGUUGCAGGUGAAGGUGCUGCCCACCCAUGAUGCCAGCAAGGUGCGUGCAAGUGGAUCCGGCCUUAAAACCACUGGAGUGCCCAGCUCUCUGCCAGUGAAGUUCAACAUUGAUGGCAAAGAUGCAGGACCCAGACGGGAAGCCCAAGAAGCAA